UCAAGCAGUUUGACUGCAGUGUUAGAGGACACCCUACACAGAAACACAGGCUUCAGUUUGUCCAGUUUUCACCUCCUUACCAAGCAAAUUUUAGUCAAGUUUAAAGCUUUAUCUGGUAAAUGAUGCAACUGAAAUCAUAUAUUGCCACACACAGUUUGAAACACAACACAUAUGAACCUUUUUCUCUCAAUGUCUGGCUUUAAAUCAGACAAAACAGCCAAGAACAAUCUGGUUUACCUAUGGGUCCAAUUUCUAGUUGUCUGAAGGUGCCAGGAUCAGCUGUGUUAACAGCUUGGAAAUGAAAUCAUACUGGUUAAGAAAGAAACAGGCAUCAUGUAAAAUGAAUAUUUUACGUCUUUGACUUUUUUUAAAAACGUUGAUGAAAAAAUCAGACGGUCAUCAGUCAUUUUGAGAGAUUAUAAUUAAAACACCUGGCCAACUGGUGCAGAAGUGAAGACAUUUUCAGUUUUACGCAUAGAGAUAACCAAAUCAAUCAAAAAGAGAUUCCCAUUAGAGGAUAAUCUCAGACCUGGACACUGUUUGAUGUGUCUCGCUAUCUGGGAACUGACAAUGUGUUGAAAGUUAUGGCGGUCACAAACCGGUGCAGCAUGGAUGUGCUUUUCAAUAAUAUUCUAAUUCAUCGAAUGGGUCUGUGAUCUAACAUCACUAAAUUAGUUACAAAGUAGGUCAAGGACAAAAAAACUAAAACUUUUUUGAGUGACCAUGACAAAUUGUUAGAAAUAUUUUGUAUAUAUAGAUCUUAAUGUUUGCUGUGCUCUUAUGUUCACUGUGUUCACUAGACAAAAUGGCGCCUGUGUAUUCGGCUCACCGUCCGACUCGCUCUCUCUACUUUGUUAUUUUUACUCUUUUUGCUCUAUUUGUAUAUUUAUGCUGUUACGGUUCUAGUGACUUACUUGUGUACGACCGUCAAGCACUUCUGGACAUUAAAACUUUGGUGGCUCUACAAUUUGGACAUGGUCUGGGUCAGAGAAACCGAGGCUUCAAGUUCCUCUCUGACAUCCCUACUGAGUUGCUGAGUUGUCCACAUUUGAUUCCGGAAAGGCGUUUCCGUCGAAGACAUGGUAAACGUGGAGGACUGGCGGUGAGGAUUAAAGGCAUUUCUUCACCGUUGAGGCGGCUCUCCUCGACUUGGAUGGUGUCCUCAUUUCCUGAAUGUAGGACGCCGCUGGAUUCACCCCGUUGUAACCCUGUAAGAGUUGUAACCCUAUUCUUGCUUUUUAAAAUAACUGACAAAUUGAAGAAACUUCUGUAUCUUAUAGAGAUUAUAUGUUUCUAUCUGUUGAUUAUUAUGUAUGUGACGCUAAACUGUUUUAAAUCUGUUAUGUGGGAUUUUUUACUUUAUUUUUUCCUCAUUGGGUUGGGGUGAAAAAUCUGAGUUAAUUGUAUUCAAUUAAAAUAUAGUAUUUGCUUUUGUUUAAAGCAUUUUACUGCAUACUGGUAAAAACUGAUAAAAAAGCUAACUUAUUUUUAUAAUUGACUUUCAUGUGUCAUGUAGAUGGAUUACAUGUGUCAUGCAAACUGGCAUAGAGUGGUGAGAUCUUUCCAGGUUUACGCAGGAAACAGAUCUUAAAGGCCUGAGAGACAUAAGUGAUCUUGCAUUUUGAUUUACUGCUGAUUAAAAAAUAUAUAUUCUUGCAUUUUGAUUACUGAUUGAUCAUAAAAAAUUUAUUCUUGUAUUUUGAUUUAUUAAUGAUUAUAAAAAUAAGGAUUUUUUGUACUUUGAUUUACUGGUGAUUAUACAAAGAGUUGAUGUAAUGAAAAGCAGAUUAAGAAAUUAAUAACAUGAUGAAUGAAUGGUGAAUAGAAUUAAACUCAGAUGAUUAUUAUAAGAAGUUAUGUUUGAAUUAAAAAGAGAAAGUUGAUUAUGUUUAAUGAUUUCUGAUGAUCAUACAGCAUAUAGAAUUGUAACUCAAGUAAUAAUACAUUGUGAAGCAAGGUGACAUGUUUUUCUCAGACUGUGUUGUAACUAGAGCAGAAGUCAGGGCUGAGCUGAGCGGGGAGGCAGGGGAGUUCCAAAGAGGAAGUAAAGUGUUUUCUUCGAAAAUAUAUUGGGGCAGUAAAUCCAGAUGGUCAGUGGACAAGCAACAGAAAAGGAGAAGUGAGCAAGGCAAGAAGAUUUGGUGCUUUCCACAGAGCCAUCGUACGUUCGAGAAGUCACGUAAGCCAUCACCCCAUAGACAACUAUGGGAUGAGAGAGUAAAAAGAAACCCAUGGAAAGAGGAACAAGGUGUUCUUAGUCCGCGGUGCUGAAGUCAAGUCAACAAGAGGAUGCAGACAGAAGAUCAGCAGAGGACCGCACCCUGGAGCCAUGGGGAAGUUGAGACUCCGCACUGCUAGUAGGGACAAGACCCAUUGACCCUCAACCCCGGUUGAGGGUCAGUGGGUCCCUCUGAUUCGACUGCUGCUCUGCGCUCAACCCAAAGAUCUCAGAGCUGCUGCAACAGACUCUGAGAAUGAUCAAAGGUCUUUGUGUGAUGAAGAUCUGAGUAUUCGGAAAACAACAACCAGUUCUGCUUUGCUUCUAUUCAGAAGAGGAUUUUUGCCUUACAAAGACUCUGACCAAGGGACAUUGAAGUUUUCUGUUGCCGAGAUCAUCCAUCAUCUGGAAGGACCUCA